UAAGUCCAUAAGAGUUAAAAAAAUAUUUAUUUAAUGAAAGGAGAGGAUGAGAUUAAUAAAUUAUAAAGUGGCAAAAUCAUUUGUUACAUGCAAAGGAAAAAGUAUGGCUGAAAUUGUCAAAUUUAUUUAUGUUAUGAUUUUCUUUCUUUUCAUAUUUCUUGUUUCCAUGAACGUAGAUGCAGGUGAUAGACGUACACAAGAUUUUGUUUUUGCACUAAAAUGUACAACUGAGAUUCAAUGUCAAUUCAUGCAUUGUCGCUUUCCUUUCCCUAUGGCGAAGUGUCUCAUUUCAAAAUGUAGAUGUUGUAAACGUAUUGCGAAUGAUUAUGUGUGUACAGACUAGAAUAUUAUGUGAGCUACCAUAUAGUUAUUAUGUUGGCACCCAAUAAUUUAAGUUUUUUUUUUUCUUUUCUAUUUUCAAGAACCUUAUAUAUAACCAAUAAAGUAGAUUCUAGGAACGAACUGGAAAAAUUAAGUCUCAA